rnacentral:lncRNA from 1 species
GUGAACAUCUAGCUGCCUGGCCCGGAAGGGCACACACGUGCCACUGUCCCUGUGAGGAGAAUCAGAGAGUCAUUCUCUUCUUCUAGCUUCACUUGGGUUCCUGGGAAUCUAACUCCUCUGGUCAGACUGGUACAUAGAAGAUGACCCUGAUUGAGAAAUCACUUAUCACAGUGACAAAUGAAGACUGUCAAUCAGUUUCUCGAGCCAGCCAGUUACUGGAUAAACAAAGAAACCAACAACAACAACAACAACAACAACAACAAAAACACAGAACAGCACAAGUCUUUAGGCAGCCCAGCCUGAGGCACCAGCUCAGAUUGCUGGGAGUGGGGAAAGCAGGGACUGGAAUGACUGUCCCUUUGGGAAUCUUUAUUCUCUAGUCAGGUGACAUGUUUAUGGGAGAAUCAUGUGUGCGGACCAAAAGUCCAAUGUCCUAACAGUCAGCUCCAAGCCAUGGCCAAGGUCUUUGAAAUGCAUAUUUUCUCCCAGAUUGGUAAUUGUGUGUGUCAUUCCUGCUGAGAGGCCAACAGGCAGGCUUCUCUGGCUGGUACUUCGGGAGAGAAACC